UAGAUUUGAGGCUGAAAGAAAUGUGAUGC
rnacentral:piRNA from 1 species